rnacentral:lncRNA from 1 species
UUUUUUUAAUAAGCCUAAUAGUAUUUAUGGAGAUAUAAAAUUGAUUAUAGGUAUGUAAAUCAUGCUUUGUAGCUGGUUUGUGAGCGUUCUCCCACUGUUUCCUAACAGGUUAAAUGGAGUGGUAGAAACCAGGAAGGAGCCGGGACAACUGCUGGUGAAGAGGUGGAACAAGUGAACAGCUACCUCUCUCGUUGUGCCCUGACAACAAAAUACAUGUCAAAAGCCGGUGAUUGGAGUUUUUUUCAUGUUCUUGCUUGCUUUUAUUUGAUUGCAUAUCAUAACCACUUCAUUCACUUUCAACAGCACGGGUGGGUAUGCUGACAUUGCAUGCAAUGGGAUGGAACCGCAAAAAAAUGUUCUCCCCUCAUCAGGCACUUUCCACACGAUAUGUAAAGACAUGCCAGAGGCUCUGCGAUGAGACUUCCAGACUCGCAGAAAUGAAGACAGAGCUGCAUUGCUCAGAUGAAUUGGUGUCACAGUGACUGUCUGAUGUGAAGGCAACUGCUGGAACAUCAGAGACCAUCCAAGGCACCACAUGCACAGGACUACAGCAGUCCAUUGAGGGCCUUUACCUGAUUGUGAGAAAGCGGAAACAAACCCUGUACCGUCAGACUGGUAAUAAUUUUUAUUUCAUAGGUUGAUUACUUCAAACUACUGUAUAUCAUAUUUUUGUAUAAGUUCCACUCCUACUCUUCAAAUAACUUACUUGUCAUACAGCUGUAACAGACUAUAAAUGUUCUUUUGAUAACCUUUUCUAAAUUGUACUGUUACACAGAAUGAAGUUAAUGCUGCUGUACUGUCACUUGCCUGGGUGUACUGCAUUUUGGCAUAAAACAUUAACACUCUACCUUAUGUCUUGUUAGACAGCAGCAAGCUU